AAUUCCCAGCUCAGUAAUUAAUUAAUACCUGCACCCAUCAAGUGGAAAAGUACAGCAGGAGGCAGCUCAGCUGUGCUGGGGUGGUGCUUUGUUCCAGGCUUUGCCCCACGCAGGGUUUAGGUCUCACUUGCAGCUCCUUCCCCCAGUCCUUGGAGGAUUUUGCAGGUCCUGAGGCUCAGGGUUGUGGCAUCAGGACAGAACCUUCACCCCAAACCAAGGUUCAGCUCCUCCCUCCCACACCCCUGCAUUUCUGGGAUCAUUUUUGCAGUGGUGUAGUGGCAGAAAAUGAGGAGAUUUAUAUAAAAUUAUAGAAAAAAAAUCAUAGAAUUCUGUGGUUACAUACUAAAAACCUGAGAUUUUAUGCAGUGGUCCAGGUUGACAAUAAACAUCCUCCUUAACUGGAAGUACUUUAUACAUUUACAACAUCAUAAAACACCAGAAUUAGAAAUUUGGUGUGUGGAGCUUGAUCCCCAUUCUGUUAAAUUUUGUAGAAAUUUAUAGAGUGUCCUGAUUUUGAGAAGGUUUGGUUUGGUUGUUUUUUUAUUUUUUAAACUAAAGUGAAUCCAGCAUAAUAUAAAUCCAUAAAAUAAAUGUUGAGGUGUUCCUGCUUUUCCAAGGUUUCGUCUCUAGGGUAAAUGGAUAUUUUGCUGCCCAAAGUUUAAUAACUAUUUUCACAUAAAAACCACACUCCUCAAGAGAAGUUUCAGGGGAGGAAUGUCCAGAAAUAAUUCCUUUUAAAACAAAAUUCCAAAGAAAAAGAGUGUCAGAAGAACCUUGCAGGGCAUUUCACUGGUGAAACAAAUCCUGGCUUUAUUAUUCCUGAUCUUCUGCUCAAGCAUCUCCUCUGUACCAAAACUCAAAAUUAAUUUGAACAUUAUUUUUAAAAAGAGAGGGAGAGAGAGAAAUGUGGUUUCUUUUAAGCAUCCUGAGUUUUUCUCAGCAUCAAUCACAGCAGACAGUUUGAUCUGCCCCUAGCUCAGGUACAUUUCCAAGGAUUUACUCUCCUGUGGAUGCUUUGAGCCAAACCCAGUAGAUUUUUCCUACUUCAUCUGUCUUGGAGAUAAUUUUGCAUUGAAUUACUUCGAGUGCAUUCACAGGAGCUCUGCUGGAUUGGGGUUUUAUUGGAGGGUUGAUGUCAGAGUUAAAAAAUGUUCCUGGGAGACAGUGAGAUUUUUGGAAUGUCCUGGUAUCCUUGACUUUUCUCAAGCUGUCUCCAGCAUUACCUCAUCAAUUUCUGUUAGAGGGGAGCCUCAAACAUGUUAAACAAUACCUUGCUCUAAAAGCCCUAUUAUUGAAUUAAAACAGAGCUCUGUUUAAUGGUCAGUAACUUCAUUUUAAUCAAAUUCUAUCCACCACAAUGACUUUUAGACUUUCUUUGUCAGGGCUGUUGCUCUUAAACAAUAGGAAAUAUCUGAGCACAAUACCUGAAAAUAAUGAACAUGCUGAUAUCCAGGAUAAAUGGAACCUAGACAGAAGAUUAAGUUGUGAGAUGAAGUCUGAGAAUAUCUGAUUUUAUAAACCAGGGAGAAUUUCUUGUCAAUUUUGUGAUUUUUAGUCAAAAAGCAAAACUGAUUCAUGUGCAGACCUUGUUCUUUAUUGUCACUGGGUGCUGCUGGGUCCCUCACUGACCUUGCCAUAACCAGACAUUUAAGAUCAUUUAAUUUGAUUUUACAGUUUUGUCUAGGUCUCCCUAGACAGAUCAUGGAAUACUUUUUCUAUUCAUUAAAUAAAAAAAGAAAUGUAAAAGAAAACAUGGUAGGAAAUUAAGAAGCUGUUUGCAGAAAAUUUUAAAUUUUUUUAGAAUUUUUUGGCAACAAACCUUGUUGGGAAUGAGGAAGAUAAGUGGGUUUGAGGAGUGGGGUUGGUGUGAGGUGGAAAUCCAAGCUGAGGAGGAUUUGCAGAGGUGCUGGAACUCACUGGGGUGGGAAUUCCAGCAGCUCCUGCUCUGAGCUGGUUUUGGUGCCUCGGAGCUGGGAGAGGAUCCUGCCCUCCCCAGCUGUGGGACCUCCCUGGGCUUUGGUGAGGGAAGAUGCUCUGGAGGAGUUUUGUGUUCUGUCUCUUCAGCAAGAGUUUAUUGCUGAUUUUAUUCAACUGUUUAAUUACUUUGUGUGUUGUGGGGCUUUUUGGCUCCUCCAUCUUUCCAUUCCUGUUUUCACCUCCAGCUGCAGGGCUGUUUGUGAAGUCACACCGUGCAAAGUGCUCCUGAGCAGGGUGAUGUUUUCUGGGAAGGGACAGUUUUAAAUGUGGAUUAAGAAUUCCCAGAAAACUACUGAAGAAUUAGCUCUCAAAGCACACAGCAUCCACUAAACUGUGGCCAUCCAUUUGGGUGGGAAAUGGUCAGAAAGAAAAAAAAAAAGGACAUUUUUUUAGGGAGAAAUCCCACCCUGCCCACACAGAUUCCAUCUGGCUGUGGUUAAUGAUGAACUGGGCUGCAAGAAGUGCUCAGGUCCAGGGCUGGAUCCUGCAGCAAAAGCAGUGAAUUCCUACCUGUAAACCAGAAUCCCAGAAUGGUUUGUGUUGGGAGGGAUCCUAAAGCUCAUCCAGUCCCUUCCCUCACCUUCCACUGUCCCAGGCUGCUCCCAGCCCCAUCCAGCCUGGCCUGGGACACCUCCAGGGAUGGGCAGCCUCAGCCUCUCUGAGGCCUUGUUAGUCCUAAAAGACUCAUAAAGUGAUUUGGAGUUAAAACAGAGCCCAGUGAGAUUUUGCCUCUUUGAUUUUUAAGUCCCUUCUUGUGGGUGUUACCUCUGAGAAUGCAACAAACUGUGAAAUCCACCCCAAAAUAUCAGUGCUCCUGAAGUGUCCUUAACCCAGUGGCUUUGUGGAACAGCUUCCCACCCUUCCCAGCUCUGCAGGGCAGUGUGAGUGAUUGCUCAGUGAAAGAAAAGCAGUUUUUUGGUCACAGGUACUGGAAGCAUUGCCUGGACAAACCAGUUUGCUGCUAUUUCUUGUGCCAUAAUUCUUUGCUUACAACUUAAUCUCAGUCGAUGCUGGUAAAGGGAGCGUGGUGUUCCUUUCACCAAAAAAGCACAAAUGAGAUCAUGGUGACUGAGGUAACUGGAAAGUUUGCUUAAAGAUUGUUGGGGGUUUUUUAGUCAAAAAUAAUUUACAAUACAGGUUGAGGUUAUUUCUUUAGAAGACAAGGCAAGAAGUGAUAAAGGGACAACCAGAAAUCUUGUCCAGGGGUGGGAAGAGCUGGGCAGUGGCUUCACAACCUUCUGGGAGGAAUUUUGGAAGGUUAAACCAAUACCCUUGACAUUGUUAAUUCAAAACUCAACAACCUCCCUGCCACAGGUACAUCAGAAACCUGGGGGAUGUGUCCUGAGCACAGCUCCACACAGAAAUGGCUUUAGUGCCCUGAAAGGGACACAGAUGUAGCUGAAAUUUGAGGAGCUUUGGUGUUGAAAGCCUGCCAGUGGAUCACAACAGAAUUAGGAGAGUUUAUUUGCAAAAGGCUUGAAGGAUUUAACUGAAUAAGCGAAGAUUUUUUCCCUAAAUUGAGUUUAAAAAAAAGAUUCUUUAAAAAACAAGCAGAAGUUUCGUUCCAAAGAGCAGCAGUGAGCAGAGCUGAGCAGAGAUGUUGCAGGUCAGAGAUGUUGCAAUUCCUAAUUUUGAAAGCACUGGUGGAACAUAACAGAAUGUCCUAGAGAAAAAGCACUGGAGCCUCCUGGGCUGCCCUGGGCACUGGAGCGUGCCUCAGGUGAGCCACGUCAAACCUGGGCCCCUUUUAGCUUUGGAACCUCCACCAGGAUCUUUCCUUCUCUCAUCUCAUAAAGCAAAUCAAGCUGCCAAGGAGCCUUUUCACCCCAAAACCUUCCUGUUAAACCUGACCAUAAACCAGAUUUGUUUUCUGCGACUUCAGAGCUCUGGGCACAAGGAACAGCUCAGCCCCAGAGCUGAGCUGAGGGCAGGGCUGGAGCUCUGCUUGCUCCUCAGGUUUGGCUGGAAAGGGAGCUGGGCCCAGCUUUGGGGAGCCCCAGACCCCAGGAGUCAGGUUUUGGGCAGUCUUAGCUCCCAGGAGUCAGGUUUUGGGUAGCCCCAGCUCCCAGGAGUCAGGUUUUGGGCAGUCUUAGCUCCCAGGAUUCAGGUUUUGGGCAGCCUCAGGUUUUCAGAAACCUAAACCAGAUUUUGGGAAACCUCAGCUCCCAGGAUUCAGGUUUUGGGCAGCCCAGGUUUCCCUAAGCCUGACCCAGGUUUUAGGCAGCCCAGGUUUCCCUAAGCCUGGCCCGGGUUUUAGGCAGCCCAGGUUUCCCUGAGCCUGACCCGGGUUUUAGGCAGCCCCAGGUUUCCCUGAGCCUGACCCGGGUUUUAGGCAGCCCAGGUUUCCCUAAGCCUGACCCGGGUUUUAGGCAGCCCAGGUUUCCCUAAGCCUGACCCGGGUUUUAGGCAGCCCAGGUUUCCCUAAGCCUGACCCGGGUUUUGGGCAGCCCAGGUUUCCCUGAGCCUGACCCGGGUUUUAGGCAGCCCCAGCUGCCAGGGCUGAGUCAGGCUCAGGCUGAGCCGUGAGUCACUGCAGGGUCCUGCUGGUGGUGGAGCCUCGGGGAAGUGGAUGGUUUAAAUACUGUGAGAAUCUUUAUCAGCACAGGAAAUGACAGCUCAUUAAAAUACUAACCGUUGAGCCAGUUUAGAUCACUGUCUGGAAAAAAAUUAACCAUUGCAGGCUCAGAGGGCUCCAGGAAGAAAGGUGCCCUGUUGAACAAGGGACACGUUAUGCAAAUGAAUCAGCUUUGCUUAUUGGCCAGUGGCAUAAAAAUAUUUCCACUGGAAUCUGUUUUUCAAUGGUUUUUAAAAUAUCUGUCUUCCAAAGAAGUCGAUACCACCGUGCUGGAGUGAAAUUUUUGAGGGAGGGGUGGGUAAAAUACCCUAAAUACUAAAAUUCCCAAAUUCGGUGCCUGUUCUUAAAUGUUUUAUUGCUUUGGAGCUGCAGGAUGGAUUUUUCUUGUGUUCCCACAGGGGAAUGGAGAAAUGGGAAUCUCAUACAAUUGGUGGGAUUGUUCAAUGAUGUCCGUAAAUGCUGGGAAGGUGAAAGCCUUUGCCUUCCCCCUCUGGCCUGGCUGUCAAUAAUCCAAUAGAAAUAAAUAAAUUCUUUAAAAAGAGGUGAAGGUCCAGCAGGGAGGAGCCCAUCCCAGCACAUUCCCUUUCUUUGUGGGAUCCCUCAGUGCCUCUUCCCUCCCUUUUCUGCAGCAGGAGAUAAUCCCUGGCCUUGGGCAGUGCCAGCCUGAGGGAUUUGCUGCUCCUGGGUCAAAGCCCUUCCCUGUGUUCCUCACUUGGAAUUGUGCUGCCAUUUCCCAAAGGAUGUUUUUCUCUGGCUGUUUCAGCCCAAAAAGCUGAAUCUGGGCAAACCCUGCUGGUGUUUGCCCCAGUGUGAGGAGUCAGAGGGAUUUUCCAAGCUGAGGGCUGUGAAUCUUGGAGGAAUUAUCCAUAAAGUGGAGCCUGACUCAAUAUUGCAUCACCUGCCCCAGGUGUGUCCAGCCUUGUCUGCACCUCCUGCUCCCCCACGGGGCUCUGGUUUCCCUCCAGGUUGGAAUUUCUGUCAUUAAAUUAAAUUAAAUUGAAUAUUAACUCCCAUCUUUGUGCCCUCCCCCCAGUGCUCCCAGUUUCCUGAGCAUCCCACUGGGAUGGAUCCCAGUUGCUGACAGGGCUCAGACUCAGGGCUGCCUGCACUGAGGUUCUCAUUUCCAUUUUUAAUUCCAUCAGGAUCAGUUUGAGAACAGCUCAGGGUUAUUGAUCAGCUGCUGUCUGAGGCCUCUAAUAAAUGGCAAACUUCCAUAAACUUUCACAUUUUCAUUCAUGAAAAAUCCCAUGGUUUUGUUCCCAAAAUUUGAGUCUUUUUUUUUUUUUUUGGGAAACACUUGGGAAUUCUAACAUUUCUCCCUGGAAAAGUGAACAAAUAUCCACAUAUUCUUUGAUAAAAUGGGAAUUUUAUACGCUAAUUUAUGGUGUGACAGAUUAUUUGUUAGAUAUUGGUGUUAUGACACUGAGGAGCAGCAUUUGAUAGAGACCUGUACUCGAGGAUUUAUCAGAGUUGGAAUUAAUUCCCUGAGUUAUUAAUUCCCUGAGUUAUUAAUUCCCAACCUCUCAAGACACAGGUUGAGAGAUUUCAGUCACUCAAGAGCAACCCAUGCUCCUAAAGACCUUGUAAGAUGAAAUUUGUGCCUUUCAGAAGUGCAAAUACCAUUUAAAAAUAGUUUUAAAUAAAUAUUUUUAAUAUUGGUGAAAAUGCAGACUGGAAUAUCAAACAACUUUCUACUUUUUGUAAGUUAGCCCAGGGAAAAUUCAAUUUUUUCUUCUUUGGGGUUGGUGCUUCAUCCUGGUGCCUUGCAGAAAAAUCUUUCUGUAGUUACAAAGGUUCUGUUAAAAAGAUUUAAAGUUACCCAAAAAAUCACUUAAUGACCAGUGAAAGGCAUUUGAGGUACAACUGUUGACAGUUGUUCUUAGAAUAGCAAAUUAAUUAAAUUUAAACUCAGAUUUGCUGUAACUGGACUGGAAGAUUUUGGACUCAAAAACUCCCAAGAAUUCUGCAGGUUCUUGGUGUAGUUUUUAAAAUAAUCCUCGAGCAACUUUGCUGAGUCUGUGUCAUGUGGUGCUUCAAACAGAUGGGGAGUUUUGUUUUAUUUAUUGGAAAAA